UAGAGUUAUGGAAUGGCUCGGGUUGGAGGGGGCCUGAAGGAUCACCCAGUUCCAUCCCCCUGCUGCAGGCGGGGAUAACACCCACAAGAUCAGGUUGGCCAAAGCCCCAUCCAGCCUGGUCUUGAGGACCUCCAGGUAUGGGGCAUCCACAGCCUCUCUUGGCAGCCUGUUCCCAUGCCCCACCACGAUGAACGUUGCCAAACACUUGUGAUGCUGUGGGUAAAGUUGUGUGUUAUAAUCCCAGCAUGUAUGUGUGUGUCUGCUGGGUGAGUAUCUGACCUGUAUCGAUGUAAAUAAUCGGGGUGACAGCUGAAGGUCUAAUUGAACCUUUCAGGAUACUGCCAUCAAGUACAUGACGGAUGGCUGCUUGUUGAGGCAUAUUUUGGCCGACCCCCUUCUCAGCAAGUACAGUGUCAUCAUUCUGGAUGAAGCCCACGAGCGGAGCCUUAGCACUUGGGUCAGUUCCUGCAGUAAGACAAGAUCUCAGGAGUCCUGACACUGUGUCUGUAUGGACCUCUAGAAAUGUUGUCUCUCUUAUUGCUCAAAAAGGUAAUGAGCAUGGUUCUCAAGGUUUUUGGCUGAAUUUCUACAGAUGUGCUUUAUUCUUCUUCUGUCCUAAUACCAUAGGAUCACUGCUUGAUUUGUUGCAUGCUGUGUAUCCUGAAAAUAAGAUGCUGCCUGUAAUCUAGUUGAAAUUGUGGUAGCUGUUGUGUUUGACAGCACUUAAAUGUUGGCUGGCACUGGACAGUGGUGUCCCCCCUGUUCAUCCCCUAAAAAAAAAAAAAAAAAAAAAAGCAACAACCAUUCAAACAAAAAAAAAAACAUCCACAAACAGAAACCAGCCUGAAACAUCUCUCUCACUGUAAGGCCUAACGUUUUGCAGGGUGUGUAUAUGACUGUGCAAAGAGAUUAUGGUUUGGGGGUCAUGGAGGUAUCCAGACUGACCUAAGUGCUGAAAGCUGUCAAAUGUCAGUCUGACCCUUCUGUGGUGAGCAGUGAGACUCGAGUCACUCAGUCCUCAAGAG
rnacentral:lncRNA from 1 species